rnacentral:misc_RNA from 1 species
GAUGAAGAACGUAGCGAAAUGUGAUAAGUAAUGUGAAUUGCAGAAUUCAGUGAAUCAUCGAAUCUUUGAACGCACAUUGCGCCCCCUGGUAUUCCGGGGGGCAUGCCUGUCCGAGCGUCAUUACAACCCUCAAGCUCAGCUUGGUAUUGGGCCCCGCCGCUCCGGCGGGCCCUAAAGUCAGUGGCGGUGCCGUCCGGCUCCGAGCGUAGUAAUUCUUCUCGCUCUGGAGGUCCGGUCGUGUGCUCGCCAGCAACCCCCAAUUUUUUUCAGGUUGACCUCGGAUCAGGUAGGGAUACCCGCUGAACUUAAGCAUAUCAAUAAGCGGAGGA